rnacentral:Y_RNA from 1 species
GGGUGGUCCAAGUGCAGUGGUGUUUACAACCAAUUGAUCACAGUUACAGAUUCCUUUGCUCCUUCUCCACUUCCACUGCUUCACUUGACUAGCCUUAG